CUCCAUAAUAAAUGUAAGUACCCCACAUACAUGCUUUCCUGUUAUUCAGAAUAAAAUAGGAUAGAUUUAUGUUUUAUUUUGUUUAUAACAACUCCAUGUUAUUUUUUUGUUCUACCAGCAAACUGUAAAAAGACAAAUUAAUUACAAUCCACUUUUAUUUUGUAUUGAAAAUUACAUCAAUCGUUAAUGUGAAAGAUUUACAAAACAUGAUUUGUAACAAAAAAAAAUGUAGUUAUCAGAAAUUAAUUCAGUACAGUUGUGUUUUUUGUUUUUUUCAUUUGCUGUAGUUCAUUCUAUGCAACGAAAUAAAAAAUAGAAAAUCUAAGAAACAUCGAGUGUUUGAGAGAUACGAGAGGUCAAUAGAUAAGAAUUUGCACAAACUACAUAAUAACUUAAAUUUAAAACAUGUAAAGACUAUUUAGUAACACGAUUUAGCAGAUGCAAACAAUGUUAAAAAGAGGAGGAAUCCCCUGGAAUCCCUAUUAACCCCUUGAGGACACAUGACAUGUGUGACAUGUCAUGAUUCCCUUUUAUUCCAGAAGUUUGGUCCUUAAGGGACCACUUCUUGGCAAUACAUUAUUUGAUCCUCUGUAUCACUGAUUUCUUUUCCAUAGGUGUUUUCAUCUACGUUCCUCUGUGAUUUGCUUCCAAAGUAAAGAGUGAUGAUCCCAAAAUUCAUCAAAGGUCUGCCUCAGUCUGAUUUACUGAAUUCCUACAUUUCUGCAAAUCAGGUUUUAGCAUUUUAAAUGAGAUGGUAUGUUUUUGACACUUCCUGUGGAGCUGGUUUACACUCUUUCAAAUGGAGCAAUGCCCCACGUAACAUACUUUGGCUACCUUAAAUGUUAGCAGGCAGGGCAAACCACUAAUAGAGUUAUCUUGUCUCUAUGAUAGAUAUACUAAGUGAGGAAAGACUGUACAUAAUUUCUGGAACAUUCUACAAGAGAUAACUAAAGUUAAAGUGCUACUUACAUUUGUACAUGUACUUUUUUUUACACCUCAUGGUGUCCUUCUCUCCCCUCCUUCAACCCUUGUGAUUCUCAUCAACUGCAAAAUCUUGCUUUGACUAUUUGUUCUCUCUAAGGACUUGCUGUGUAACUUACAUGUCUGUAGCCAUAAACCAGCAUAAUAGUUAUUCGUUAAACCCAAAUUCAGCACUUUCUCCUAGGGCUAAAAUAAACUCGUAAAUUUACCAAUAUGGUAUAAAAUGUGACUAAAUGUAAUGCAAAGUAACACAAAAUAAAAUAUAUCCUAAAAAGCUACAAUCAAUAUAUAGUAUUAUUAAUAUUUAUAUAGCAUCAAUAUAUUCUGCAAUGCUCUAGGAUUAGAGAAGGGGUGAAGAAAUGCUCAAAUGAGCUUACAAUCUAUGGUAGGUGGAUAUAUGUUGUUAGGUGUCCUUAUCCAAGGACAUGUACUGGCCUAACUGGGUUUCAAGUCUAAGUUUUCAAUUUCUAUGGCAACAAUGUUACCACUGCCAUAAAAAUAAUAAUAAUUUUAUCUGUUUAUCUAUCUAUAUUUUUUAUUAUAUUUUUUAUUUAUUUAUUUAUGUUUAUUGUUCUUGAAUUUUUUAUGUUUUAUAAUUUUAUUUUCUAUGAUAUAUAAGAUAAUGGGCCUUGUACAUUCAAAUAAUAUUUUUUCAUAUAUAUAUAUAUAUAUAUAUAUAUUAAAAUUCUUCUUUCAGGAAUAUACAACCCACUAACAUUCAUUAAUAUCAAGUUUCUAUGUCCAGACAUCAAAGGUCCCUAGGGGCGUUAAAUAUUUUAAUUGAACAGCUGCUUUCUGAUGAAUAAUACAAAGAUGAAUCCAAAGUAUUAAACAUGUAUCUUAUUUCAUCAUUUGGAACAUGAAAUAUUUCUGUAAAAUAAAGUAAUAGAUAUCUUUAGGAAAUAGCAGAAUGUUUUAAGUAAAGAUGAAAAAGAAAAAUAUGUAAAAGAAUAUGCACAAAUUGCUUCAUACUGGAAGUAAUUAUUAAAAUUUUAUUGUAACGAGGAAUGUUAGGUCAUUUGUAGCAUCAAUUUUAGUUACUUGUAACCAUGAUAGCUAUCACCCCAGGACAUAGCAAGAAUAAUCUACAUGUUUUGACCCAAUACUUAUUUACAGAGUAUAUUUCUUUUUUUUACAUUCCCCCGCCACCAACAUCAGCAUCAGUGAUGUUCUCAGUAAUAUUUAAAGGUAAUCAAGGUUAUUAACUAAAGUCAAAAUUCAACGUUUAUUAUUAUUAUUUUAUUAUUUAAAUAGUGCCAGCAAAUUCCGUAGCACUGUACAAUGGGGGGUGGGGAGGAGACUAACAGACAUGUAAAUAUAAUGCUGGAGUAGUCGAACUAAAACAAUAGCUGACUUAGAAUAAUUUUCCAUUUAAGCUAUAUUGACCUUAAAUUUGAAAUUCACUUUGAGUUCACUUUGAAAUCUCACUAUAGUAAAUAACAGUGUUACAAUACAGGAUUAUAUAUAACACUUUCAGGGCUAUUCACUAUAGUGAGAAUUGUUCGGAAUUCCAAGCUAAUUUAUAAUUUAAGGUCAAAGUAGCUGAAUUGAAAAUAUAGCCGACUUCAAGGAUUUUGAAGUUUGGCUAUUUUGGAAAUUCACUUGAAAUUCACUUAACCCCUUAACGCCGUUCUAUGCCGUCGCGGCUUUAAAGCCGUUGCGGCGGCAUAGAACGCCGUAACGGCUUUCUGCCCCAGGGGAUCGCAGCUACUUACCUCCGCUGUGAUCCUCUUCUGGAGGGCUGCCUGACCGCCCAGGCAGCCCUCCUCCGGCAAGUGAGGCCCCCGGAUCUUCCAGCAGGGGGACUGUCUGAAAUAUCAGACAGUCCCCCUGCUGGUGGGAAAUGUAAAAAAAUAAAAUUAGACCUGUUUUAAAAUAAAUUAAAUACUAUAUAUAUAUAUAUAUAUAUAUAUAUAUAUAUAUAUAUAUAACGUCAUACGUUGUGUAUUUCAAUACUAAUAUAAGUAUAUAUUAGUAUUAAAAUACACUUAGAAUGACGUUACAUAUAUAAUAUGUAUAUAUAUUAUAUAUAAUAGAUAUAUACACAUAUAUUAUAUAUAUAUGUAUAAUUACAUAAAUAAAUAAAUAAAAUAAAUAAAAUAUUGAAACAAAAUUUUAUUAAAAUUAUAUAUUCAUAUGUAAUUUCAUUCUAACUGUAUUUUGUUAUUAAUAUAUAUAUAUAUUAGUAACAAAAUACACUUAGAAUGACAUUCUAUAUAUAUAUAUAUAUAUAUAUAUCUAUCUAUCUAUCUAAAAUACAAAUAACCGCAAAUAAAUAUAUAUAUAUAUAUAUAUAUAUAUAUAUAUAUAAAUACAUAUUACAUAAAAAGAUUACAUUAGUAUACACGUAGAAUUUAAAUACCUAUAAAUGCAUAUAUAUUAAAAUUCUACGUGUAUAUUUAAGUAAUCUUUUAACAUAAGUAUGUUAUUUGAUUAAUUAAAAUUUGAUUGACAUGCCUGACAACACAGAGAAAGUGCAGAGGAUUUAAUUCGCAAGCACUAUAUUUGACCCUGUAACUCUCCAAGACACCAUAAAACCUGUACAUAGGGGGUACUGUUUCUCAGGAGACUUCGCUGAACUCAAAUAUUAGUGUUUAAAACUGGCAAAUUGUAUUACAACGAUGAUAUUUUAAGUAAAAGUGACGUUUUUUGAUUUUUUUUACAAACAAACGGCACUUUUAUGCACUAUAUUAUUGUUGUAAUAUGUUUUACUGUUUUAAAACACUAAUAUUUGUGUUUAGUGAAGUCUCCAGAGAAUAACAAUACCCCUCAUGUACAGGUUUUAUUGUGUUUUGGAAAGUUAGAGAGUCACAUAUAAGGCUUGCAUUUCAUUUUUUUGACAUUGAAAUUUGCCAGAUUGGUUAUGUUGCUUUUGAGAGUGUAUGGUAGCCCAGGAAUAAGAAUUACCCCCAUGAUGGCAUACCAUUUGAAAAAGUAGACAACCCAAGGUAUUGCAAAUGGGGUAUGUCCAGUCUUUUUUAGUAACCACUUGGUCACAAACACUGGCCAAAAUUAGCGUUCAAUUUAGUUUUUUUACUUUUUUCACACACAAACAAAUAUGAAUGCUUACUUUGGCCAGUGUUUUCGACUAAGUGGCUACUAAAAAAGACUGGACAUACCCCAUAUUGAAUACCCUGGGUUGUCUACUUUAAAAAAAAUAUGUACAUGUGGGGUGUUAUUUAGAGAUUUAUGACAGAUAAUAGUGUUACAAUGUCACUAUUGAUAAAUUUUAAAAAUGUAUGUUUUGAAAACACAAUAUCCUACUUGUACCUAUAGCCCUUUAACAUGCAAAAAAAAGCAAAAAAGCACGUAAACACGGGGUAUUUUUAAACUCAGGACAAAAUUUUGAAUCUAUUUAGCAGUUUUUUUCAUUCGCUUUUGUAGAGGAGUAAAAGAUUUUUCAAGUAAAAGUAAAAAAACAUGUAUUUUUUUCAAUUUUUCAUCAUAUUUUUUUAUUUUUUUUAAAUUAAAAUACAUGAGUUUAUAUAAAUAAUGGUAUGUAAAGAAAGCCCCUUUUGUCCUGAAAAAAACAAUAUAUAAUUUGUAUGGGAACAGUAAAUGAGAAAGCGGAAAAUUACAGCCAGGGUAUGGUCAGUUAUUUCUAGUAGCCACUUAGUCACAAACACUGGCCAAAUAUUAGUUUUUUGCUUUUUUCACACAAAAACAAAUAUGAACGCUAACUUUGGCCAGUGUUUGUGACUAAGUGGCUACUAAAAAAGACUAAACAUACCCCACACCAUUAUGGGGGUAAUUCUCAUUCCUGGGCUACCACACCGUCUCAAAGGUAACAUUACUAACCUGGCAAAUUUCAAUUUGAAAAUGGAACGUUCUAUAUUUGUCCCUGUAACUUUCCAAAACACCAUAAAACCUGUUAAUGGGGGGUACUGUUGUACUUGUGAGACAUCGCUGAUUACAAAUAUUGGCAUUUUUUUGCAGUAAUACCUAACAGUAUUAUGACAUUCACAGCUACAAUGUCAGACGGAAAUACAAAUUUAAGAAAAAAAUCUUUUUUUAAAUUUUAUUCAUAAUAAAUGAUGUUCCAUAUAUGAAUAGUUAAUGAUAAAUUAAAGCCCUGUUUCUCCUGAACAAAAUGAUAUAUAAUAAGUGUGGGUGCACUUAAUGUGACAGCGGUGAAUUACGGGUGAACAGACAUAUAGCGCAAAAUUCCAGUUUUUGUUUACGUUUUGUUUUGAUCAGAACGUGCACUAUUGACUCCGUCCUGAAGGGGUUAACAGUUCUGAUAAGUCUCACUUCAGUGGAUAAUCCUCUCAGUAGGGUUAUCUAAAUUGUAUAAACCACUGCUUAAAUCACACAAAUUGUUCUGCAUACAAUAUGCCUUUUGUCAAAUCUUGUUUGAUUUGUAAUAGUAAUAUAUUUUGAAAUGUGAAUAUGAUUGUAUAGUAUUAAUAGAAUUAACCUUUAGUAAUGAUACUUGCACAUGUUUUUAGAUAUACAAAACAAAUAUAAAAUUUUUUUUUACUGGUAAAUAUUCCACUCCUUGCAGGGAUAUUUAGAAAAUAAAUAGUGGCAAUAAGGAAGCAUGUGCUAUGCAUAUAUUGUUUGUAUGGAGGAGGGAGAGGCUCAAAGAAUGUCAAUUAAUUAUUUUUUUCCCUGCUCUUUAUGCACAUAUUUAUAUACUAGAAUUGUACAUAGUGAAAAAAAAUUGGUUGCCCAAAUCAAUUUAUCAAAAAAACCAAAAACAAACAAACAAUGGGCUCUUUGGAUUUCGUCCAUGUGGUGUUUUGGUUCAGAGAAAUUGGGUCUAUGCGACCAUAACAGUAAAAAUGAUUCAGACAAACCAAAAUUGUACUGCAGUACAUUAAUAGGUGCAUUCUUAGUUCAAAGAUCAAGAUGAUUGAUGGCAAAAAAAAAUCUAUAAUUGAUGGUUUAGGGUCUGGUCAAUAAAUUUAGAUUUUAUUCACAGAUCAAGUGAGAAGAAACCAAUAGAGCUUGAAAAAGGUGGAGCAGAAAACGUCUAUAUUUCUAUAUUUAUUACAUAUAUAAGAUAUAAAUAUCAAUUUUUUUUGCUCCUCCUUAUUUUUUCCUCUACUGGUCACUGCUCACCUUAUGUGAAUACAAUUCACAUUUAUUUAUGUUCCCUAACCAUCAAUUACAUUUUUUUUCCAUCUAUUAUAUUUUCUUUUGGCCCCAUGGAUAGAACUCCAAAUCACAAAACAGUUUGUCCAUUUAGUUUGUUUCAUGAUGUGUCCAUAGAGCAUUUCAGACAAAUGGCUAAUGGCCAAUUGACGAAAAUGCUGUCCCCUCAAAAUAACUCAACACACAGCCAUUAAUGUCUAAAUAGUUGGCAACAACAGUGAGUACACCCCUUUAAACUGACCUGUAUUCCAUGAUAGACGCUGCUAGGCCAAGACCUCUUCGGGAACUAUGACGCAUUCGCUGCAAUCCACUACUGAAUCCCUUGAUUCUCUAAGAGAAAAUUAUAGAAAACCUAUGAAUUAUGCUUAUAUAUUAGAAAUUAUGAUUUUUUUUUGUGAGAAAAUCAAUUUUCUGUGUGUACAACUGUCAUUUUUAAGGAAGUUUGAUCAGGAAAAUAAAAUUUCAUUUCUUUCCUGUUACUUCCUGAAUGUUUUAGUGCAUACCAUGUUUUAGUACACGGCUUCUGUCUAUUUUGUCAACUUGGAAGUUGUAAAUCUUGCAAUAACCAAAAAUAUAUGUUUUUAUUGAUAUAGCUGAUAGUAGACGUGCACAAAUUCUGUUAAUCCCAGGAUGAACAAGUUGAUUUGUUCAUCAAACAUGAAUUAAUAGAAUAAUUUGUCCUUAGAUUAACAGGCAUUUGAUUUGUUAAUGGACCACUAAAGGCACCCAGACCAGACUUCAGCUCAAUGAAGUGGUCUGGGUGCCAGGUCCCCCUAGUUUUAACCCUGCAGCUGUAAACAUAGCAGUUUCAGAUAACCUGUUAUGUUUACAUUAGGGUUAAUCCAGCCUCUAGUGGCUGUCUCAUUGACAGCCACUAGAGGCGCUUCUGCCAUUCUCACUGUGAAAAUCACAAUGAGAAUACGCUGACGUCCAUAGGAAAGCAUUUAGUAAUGCUUUACCAUGGGCGGUUUGAAUGUGCGCGCGGCUCUUGCCAUGUAUGCGCAUUCUGCUCUGACGUUGGCAGCGCCGAGGGAGCCUGACACUAUAGUGGUCCUUUAAGCACAGUUAAAUGGAGUAUGUAGACUGUGUACAAGUCUAGCUGAUAUAUCCUGUGCUUCAGACAGUUCUGGGUUUAUUUUGUAAAACUUUUUUUCCAGGAACUGUGUUUUGUAGAUCAAUAUAGCAAUAAGGUGGCUUUAACUGUGCCAUUAAAUUCAUGAUGAAUUAUAGAAUUUAGUAUCUAAUUUUUUCACAAACAUAAAGCAUUGAAAAUGUACACAGCAAUACAAAUAAAGUACAACUACAGCUAGACUAAUGCAAAAGUGUAAAAAUCCAUAAGGUAUGUUAAAAAAGAUAUAGGCAGUUAAACGUAAAAAAUGUGUUCCAUAAACAUACCAAAUGAAUGAAAAUAUAUGUAUUUUUGCUAAAUAUUAAGGGGAUAUGAGUGUACAUUUGUACAGAGUGUAUGUAUACAUAUGUCAAUACAUAUAAUUAAUUUAUAUUAUAUAUACCAAUAAUGCCCAAAGAAUUGAAAAACCAUUGUGCAUAUGUAGCUUCUAAUCAAAGGGAAUUGUUGUCAUAGUAAGUUUCUUUUUAAUGAAAAUGUGUGAGCAUUGCUAAAGUUAAAGUCGUUUCUGUUUUGUGGGGGGAGGUCAUUUGUACCUGUUAUCAGUGCUGUAUUUGCCCGAGGCAAAUGAGGCAUUUGCCUUGAGGGGCACUUUCCAGGGUACCGCAAAAAAUGCCGUCCCCAAAUGCCCAGGCUAAUGCCUUGUUAGCCUCAGGGCAGACGGCUAGCUGAGCUCCAGGCGGAGAGCACAUUCUGGGUCCCCGCAUCACUUUGCGUUGCGCACCUGGAUCUCAACUGGCCGCCCACCUGCCUGCCCAAACAGUCCGGCCAGCAGCCCCACUGGAGCCCAGGUAAAAAAACACCCAGCUCCCCCAAAGGUAGGGAGGAUGGGUGGAUUUAAAUUAAAAUAAAAAAAUAAUCUGUGAGUGUUGGGGGGGAAGAAUGUGUGGUCACCCCAGAAGUGCCCAACAGGGUAUUUGAACCUGGGUCCUUCGCUUGCUAAUAUGCCUCUAAGCCACAGCGGAUUCUGUUCUUUUGUAUAUGUUCUAUCCUUGCUAUUUCUGGCUUUGUCUGCAACACUAGGGGGCUGCACUUCAUCUGUGGCUGAUACCUGUGCUUCACCUGAGGCAGAUCGCUAAUCAUCCAGGUAUUUAAGCACUGCCUUGCCCUGGGAACUUUGUCAGUCCUUUGAUUCUGGUGAUCGUGUGCUUGUCUCCUGAUACUUGUUCUCCAGAUUGACCUUGGCUUUCCUCCUUGUUUACCCUGACCCUUUGGCAUCCUCUGACUUUGACUUAUCCUCUAAGAUCCUUCUGCUUGUGUCCUUGUUUGUACUGCGAAUUGGAGCACCUUUCACACCCCCCAUGCACAGAUUCACAGUCCUGGUGGUUUCUAACCUUAUCACCUUGGACUAUGUAUAUCUGCAAGGGUGAGCACAAAUCUCUGUCUACCGGACUCCCACCUCUGGUAAGGCCCUGACAGUCUGUCUGUCAGUGAGUCUGUGUGUGUAUAUCUGUCAGUGUGUGAGUGAAUGUCUGUCAGUGUGUGUGUGUGUGUAUGUGUGUCUGUCAGAUUUUCAAGUCAGUGUAUCUGAGAGUGUUUCUGUCAGUCAAAGCGUAUUAGUCUUUAACAGGAAAAGGUGUGGCCUUGACAGGACGGGGCGGGGCAUGUGUAAAUUAGGGGGUGCCCGAGUUAAGUCAUGCCUAGGGCUACACAGAUCCAAAAUACACCAUUGCCUGUCAUCCAAAGGAGCACCGGUGUUUAUUGUGUGAAAAAGUAUGUGAGUAAAAUAUUAGUUAUCAGAUGAACCCAAAAUUGUUGAUUUUGAAAAAGUAGCCAUAAAAUUCUGAUUACAACUGAGAUCAUACUUACAGUUUACCAGAUGCUUUCUGACAAUUUUACUCAUCACUACUGUUGCUUUUUAAUGUUUUAUUUGUUUCAUUUAACAGCUCGACUGACCUGUAAUGAAGAUCAACAUCAGUAACAGACAUCCGUAGAAGACUUUGUGCUUGGUGAGAGAUAUGGAACAUUCCAUUGAAGAAAAAAUGGAAUUCAAGCACCAAAAAUAGCAUUUACACAUACAUAGAAAAUAAUUUUAUAGCAUGGUCAAGCGCUGAAAGCAGCCUCUAUCGCACACCCAGCUCAUACAGGUUUAGUGCUGGGGAUGAGCAAACGGAAAGGCUAGCAAGAAAAUUACUCACUGAUUCAACAAAUAUAGUUUGGUCAUGCUAAACAGUAGGAGUUAAUAAAUUAAUUAUGGCUAGGUGGAUAGGAGGAGGUUUGGGAUAGAAGUAUAGAGCAUACUAACUGAAGGAAGAUAGGAAAAAGGAGGGGUUGGAAUGGAAAAAUGCAAUCACAUGCACACGUCCUUUAGACUGUCUUCAGACACUACAUACCAGAUGCAUGCACACACUACAGAAAUACACCCUAC
rnacentral:lncRNA from 1 species